rnacentral:lncRNA from 1 species
UCUGGAAACUUAUGCUUACUCGGAGCACAACAAUCGAUCACAAGCAAAUACCAUAAGAACCAGGAAUUCAAACUUUCUUAGCCAAGCCGCAAGAUAUUAAACCAAAACUGUAGCCAAAAUAUUGAAGGGCCAAUUCAUCAGAGUAAACCUGGAGCUUAAUCACAACAUAAGUGGCAAUUGGGUUAUUCGUCCCAAUCCUUCACUUGAAUGACAAUGUUUUGUAUGUCUUGAAUCUGGACCAAUAGGCAACCUGUAUAUGCAUAGAAAACGGUGGCAUAUCGUGUAUUAGCUUCUCCUCACUAGAUCUAUAGAUUGUGAAGUAGGGAUCAAACUUCAUAUAGUUGUACAGUCGAUUCCAUGACCAAGCUUCAUACCAACCAAAUUUGUAAACUGACUGAACUGGAAAGUGGAUUCAAAGGAGAGGAUGUAGGUGAAGAAAGAAGGCAAACAACUGUUCCAUCUCAUAAUCCUAAGCCACAAAUAAAGAAAUCAUAGAGAAAUAGAAUCUGACCAUGGGCGGAGCUUAUGAAUCCUGGAAAUCGAUCAGGGAAGAUAUGGGAUCGACAAUGACAGGGGUCUGUUCAGUUCCUCUUGCUAAUUCAAGAAAUCAAUUGUUCAUAUUUACCCAAAAAACACAGCAGCAAAAACAAAGCUCGUAGAGAUAAAUGGAAACCUAUGUAAGUUGUAAAGAUUAAAGGGAAGCAAGUUACCAGGAGCGCAAGUGGAUUUUGGGGUUUCAAAGUUGAAGUUUCAAUGCAAGAGGAACGGGCCCUUAGCAGGAAUGGUGGAGUGAACCUGAUCUUAUGAAUCUGCUCUUCGGCU